GGUGUUGUAGCCGUGUAAAAAGGGACUGUUUUAGGGGAGAUUUAGGGACUGUUUUGUGUCACAUUUGGAUUGUUGUUGUUAUGGACAUUGUGGUGCAUUGUAUGCAUGUUGAAUAUGUGAAUUGAGGUGUUAAAGAAAUGAAUUAUGAUGAAGUGUAUAGGCAGUCCAAAACUGUGGACAGUUUUGAUGUUAGAAGUGAAUUUGUGUGUGUUGAAUGUUGAUUCUUGUUGCAAACGUUUAGUGAAAGUAAAGUGCAUUGAUUCAAGCUGAAACUGAAAUGAUGGUGGGCUGUUAUAAGAAUGGAAAUGAUGCUAAAACAGUUCCAAAAAUCAUGAAAGUAAUGUCAUUAAACGUGUUGUUGUUGUUGCAAGUUAAAACUGGAAAAUUACUAAGUGAGAAUGGAAAUGCUAUGUGUGUUGUUUAGCCAUGUGUAUGAAACAGUUUUGAAUGGUGUAUGGACUGCCCAAGUUCCCUACGUCAUGUUUAAACAAGUCUUGAUUAAUAUAUGAAAGAACGAUUAGCAAUGUUAGCUUGUAACGCUAGUUGGUUUGAAUGCGAACAAAACGUCGUUUAAUUGUUAGAAAGGAAUUGUGAGUGUCACAAUACGUAUUGAAUGCCCUUGUAGACUAAUUGUAGUUCUUCACAUCUUGAUAUAGGAUAAGUGUUUUUGGGCAGCAAGUACAAGUUAGAAUACAACUAAACGCAAAAGGUACAGACGCUCGUUUCGGAGAUCCGCCAGCUUAGGACACUAUUUCAGCUAUUUUGGACUGCUCCUUUGUUCCGGAGCUAGCUUGUGGUAUAACUCCCUUAUGUUGUAUUCGUAGGUGUUUAUUUGGGUAUGGCGGGGCCCUGUCCCGCCACAUAAUACGGUCAUUACUCUUAGAGGUCUGUGGACAUCGGUGUGGGUCUGUUUGUAGUUGUUGAUGCGUUUUAUGUCUAUGACUUAUGUUUGGGGCG